GAGAGGUGCUGCAUGGCUGUCGUCAGCUCGUGUUGUGAAAUGUUGGGUUAAGUCUCGCAACGAGCGCAACCCCUAUCGUCUGUUGCCAGCAUUAAGUUGGGCACUCUGACGAGACUGCCUGGGAUAACCAGGAGGAAGGUGGGGAUGACGUCAAGUCCUCAUGGCCCUUAUGUCUAGGGCUACACACGUAAUACAAUGGCGCGUACAGAGGGAAGCGAACCUGCGAGGGGGAGCAAAUCUCAAAAGCGCGCCUCAGUUCGGAUUGGAGUCUGCAACUCGACUCCAUGAAGUUGGAAUCGCUAGUA
rnacentral:rRNA from 1 species